rnacentral:rRNA from 1 species
UAGGGAAUCUUCGGCAAUGGACGAAAGUCUGACCGAGCAACGCCGCGUUAGUGAAGAAGGUUUUCGGAUCGUAAAACUCUGUUGUUAGAGAAGAACAAGGACGUUAGUAACUGAACGUCCCCUGACGGUAUCUAACCAGAAAGCCACGGCUAACUACGUGCCAGCAGCCGCGGUAAUACGUAGGUGGCAAGCGUUGUCAGGAUUUAUUGGGCGUAAAGAGAGCGCAGGCGGUUUCUUAAGUCUGAUGUGAAAGCCCCCGGAUCAACCGGAGAGGGUCAUUGGAAACUGGGGGACUUGAGUGCAGAAGAGGAUAGUGGAAUUCCAUGUGUAGCGGUGAAAUGCGUAGAUAUAUGGAAGAACGCCAGUGGCGAUGGCGGCUCUCUGGUCUGUAACUGACGCUGAGGCUAGAAAGCAUGGUGUGCAAACAGG